GGAGAUGUACUCAAGCUGGUCGAAGAGGUCGCACUCGAAAUGCGAUAGGGCCCGAGAGGGUCGCUAGGGUUCGAAUCCCUACAUCUCCGCCA
rnacentral:tRNA from 1 species